GAUGAACGCUGGCGGCGUGCUUAACACAUGCAAGUCGAACGAGAAGUGAAGACGGAAACCUUCGGGCGGAAGGCUUUAUUUCGAGUGGCGGACGGGUGAGUAACGCGUGGGUAACCUGCCUCAUACAGGGGGAUAACAGUUGGAAACGACUGUUAAUACCGCAUAAGACCACAGCACCGCAUGGUGCGGGGGUAAAAACUCCGGUGGUAUGAGAUGGACCCGCGUUCGAUUAGCCAGUUGGCGGGGUAACGGCCCACCAAAGCGACGAUCGAUAGCCGAUCUGAGAGGAUGGCCGGCCACAUUGGGACUGAGACACGGCCCAAACUCCUACGGGAGGCAGCAGUGGGGAAUAUUGCACAAUGGGGGAAACCCUGAUGCAGCGACGCCGCGUGAGUGAAGAAGUAUUUCGGUAUGUAAAGCUCUAUCAGCAGGGAAGAAAAUGACGGUACCUGAGUAAGAAGCCCCGGCUAACUACGUG
rnacentral:rRNA from 1 species